UACGUAGGCAGCGAGCGUUGUUCGGAGUUACUGGGCGUAAAGAGUGCGUAGGCGGUUUUCUAAGUUUGGUGUGAAAUCUCCCGGCUUAACUGGGAGGGUGCGCCGAAGACUGGAAGGCUUGAGUAUGGGAGAGGUAAGCGGAAUUCCUGGUGUAGCGGUGAAAUGCGUAGAUAUCAGGAGGAACACCGGUGGCGAAGGCGGCAUCCUGGACCGACACUGACGCUGAGGAGCGAAAGCCAGGGGAGCAAACGGG
rnacentral:rRNA from 1 species